GGGGGGGCUCUCCUCAAUGAAGGGUCGCGGGGCGGGACCCGAGCGGCUCCCUGAGGUGUAGGAGGUCAGUCAGUUUGGCCCCGCACCCUGAUCCGCUGAUCCCGGAGGCUGCCCAGCCCUCGCCGCUUAACCUGCGCGGGAGCGGCUGGUCCGGGCCGGGAUGAAACCCCAGCGGUCCCAGGCCCCGAUCUGCUCUGCAAAUUUGUGGAUUUAGGACGGGGCCGUCCUGCUUCCCGGCGUUUUCCUUGGAAAUAAAUCUCCGAAUGCUCUUUUGCACAGGGUUUUCGUGUGCACUCUCGCCGACAGCACCGCAUUAAACGCGAUCGUUAAGCGUUACUGUUGAAUUGGGAUCUGCAGGGGAGUGGCAAGAUAAACCACGAAAAAUUUUGCCAGGAAGGAGAUGCAGCGUCUCACUGGGAAACUAACCUAGGCUGGUCGCGAGCUGGCUUCAUAGACCAGGCUGGCCUCCCCACUCCCAGAGACCUGCGUGCCUAGGCUCCCAAAUGUCCCUGAUAGUCUUGGCUCUCUCCGUGUUUGACCUGCACCUAAAUCCCUACCAAACGCAUGGACGGCCAAGUGUAGAGGACUGAGUGCGUGAGUGCAUGAAAAUAUGGAAAGAGCCCAGCAGCACUGACUCAGGGUUCCAGGGGAAGAAGAGUGCAUCACGAUGGGGAGGCAUUAACAGCCAGCUGUAGACAUGAUGCCUGAGCAGGAAGCUGAGAGCUCAUAUCCUCGGUGGCAACCUCGGAAGCAGGCAGCCAGCUGGAACUGGCACAAGUCUCUCAUGCGGUAUUCCUCCAGUAAGUCUCACCACCGGAACCUCGCCAAACAGCACCACCAACUGAGGACCAAGGAAUCCCAAUGCCUGGAACUCUGGGGAACACUUCUUAUUCAAAACACCACAAAGGUUAAGUAGAUGAUUUUUUGGGGGGAGGGAGGAGGUUUGAGACAGGGUUUCUCUGUACUGGGGUGUGUUGCAAAUACUUGGCAGAUAUUUAAAUUAAUCUUCUCUACAAGCAUUGUAAGGAAGUCCCAUUUUACAGACAGGAGAUUGGAUGCCAAGAGUUUAUGGGACUUGUCAAGCUGACCUAAUUUGCAAGUGAAAAGCUGGGCUUGAGACAGAAGAAGUCUGGUUCCAGAGUCUGUUCUUGUUCUCUCUUCCUCUAGUCCACACUGAUAGCUCUCUAGACCCCCACCCCUGAAAAUAUAACCCAAAGGCUUCCCCAUGAGAAUAUAAGUCAACUGUCCUAUAAAAACUUGAGCAAUUUUGGAAAGAGUCACCAGACGCUAAGGUUCUAGAGAAGACAAAGUAUGAGCUUAUAUCUG